UAAAGCACAGCUGAGGUCGGCAGGUGGAAGAGCUGGAGGGACAGGAACUGAUUUUAUACUAAUCAGGUUAGAUGUGACCCUCCCAUGAGUGCUGGAACGAUUAACUUUAUUGGGAUCAAGAUUGUUGCUAUGAGGACAGUGAGAGCGUUUCGACAGGAUGCAACGCCUGUCAGUAACUCUAAUAGGGAUAUGAGUGCAGAUAGAAGUUGGAAUUGACAUUGGAAAAGAGGUAUGAGGAUUUGCUGCAGGUUUUGCUGCUGCAAAAGAACUAGGUGGAGUAAAGGGGCCAGAAGUGCAAACAUUAAAGAUGACAGCAGGACCCGCACUGUCAGAGACAGUGUUGUGACAGGAAGACAACGUGUGCAGGGCCGAGUCUUGCUGGGAAAAGCAUCAUUUCAGGCUGAAAGCAAUGAAGUUAAUAAAAUUGCUUGUUAAUCUUUCAGACCCUUUCCUAUUCAAGUGUAAGCCAUCAAAUUUGAAGAGAUCACGCUCAGUCCAGAAAUAGUCAAAAUUGCUGAUAAAACCCAGGCCUGUUGCAGUGGUGAAGUUCUGCAUCCACGUGUGCAGACUGAAAAGUCGGCUAAAACGCUCUGAGCUUUUGAGCAGGGUGGGAAUAGGGCCAGAGAGAACACACCUCUUCCCGAGGCUUUCAACAGUGUGAAUCAGUGACUCAAGAUCAAGGUAAAGUUUGCAGGAGCGUCUGGACAUGACGUCAUUUGUGCCAGUGUGCAAUAGAACAGUGUGAACAGAUGGGUGGAGAUCAAUAAGGACAGGUAUCCGUUCUAUAAAGUCAGUAGUAAUCCCACCAGAGAGACAGUAAGUAAUGGAGCCUGGGAGAUGCACAUUUCUGAUGAUAGAGUCACCAAGUAUAAGAAUUUCAGGAGGUUGAUUCUUGCAGCCAUUGUCAUAGACUGACAAUUUAGGAGACAGGGAGAGAUGGGAGUUGCCAGGGUUUUCAGGAUCAGUAGAAGAGGGAUUAGCGCCCCCUACACAGAUGACGUCAUCAUUGCGCGUCGGGGCGAACAGACCCACUCCAGGCAGUGGGAACGAUUGCUGCGGGGCAGGUAGAGGAGGCCAGUCUUCUGAAAGGGAUACAGAUGAAGGGGAUGAACACCUUGGACGUUUAUCCUGGGACAUUAGUGGACUAGAUGGAGGGGUGCAACGCUUUCUGCGUCGGGAGAUUGGCAGGAUCGGUUGCUCCUGAGCGGUGAGUGAGGAUGUAGCCGGUAGCCCAGCUAACUUCUCCAGUGGGGUGAAGAAGUUUGACAACGGGAUGAAAUCAUCGUCGUAUUCAUCCAAGUCAGGGGAAUCGACAACUGCCCUACAGGUCAUGUGAACGGAGUCUGCCACUGUUUUUCUGCCCAGCCUGUAGGCAAGAGCCAGACUCCUGAAAGACUCUCCGGUGGCAAGGAAUCUUUGUGAAGUGCCAAGGUCGCUGGAAGGACCUAAGGGACCAACUUUCCAAAACAACUUUACAACCACGGAGUGGAUCGGCAGCAGGACCCCAAAAGGAGUGGAAAUACACCCAAGCCCUGUCUUUUCUUAUUCCCCACCUUCAACCCAGGAGGUACAGUGCAAACACUGAAAGGCAGUGAUGGCUCACUGAUUCCCAGCGCACUAUUUUACAUAUAGCACAAGUUCUAAAAUAACUGAAAUGAUUUUCUCAUUUUAAGAAUCAGCAUACAUUUACCUAGACUAUAAAUCAUUGUGCAUGUCAUUUAUGCUUUAGCUCUAGAAGCAAAACCUAGACCAAGUUGAAGAUUGGGAGGCAUUGGACCUGAGCCAUGGAGAGGAUGUGCGGGAGGAGAAUGACCAUCAACCAGAUCAGCAUUCUCAACCUGGUUCUUCAACCAACAGGCCCUACAGCAGACCUGCUGCACGAAAGAGGGCCUCAGCACCUUUGGAGUCUUUGGAGGAUAGGCUGCUGGCUAUGGUCCAGGAGCCUCCACAG